CAGUAGCCGCGGUAAAACGUAGGUGGCAAGCGUUGUCCGGAAUUAUUGGGCGUAAAGGGCUCGCAGGCGGUUUCUUAAGUCUGAUGUGAAAGCCCCCGGCUCAACCGGGGAGGGUCAUUGGAAACUGGGAAACUUGAGUGCAGAAGAGGAGAGUGGAAUUCCACGUGUAGCGGUGAAAUGCGUAGAGAUGUGGAGGAACACCGGUGGCGAAGGCGACUCUCUGGUCUGUAACUGACGCUGAGGAGCGAAAGCGUGGGGAGCGAACAGGAUUAGAGACCCCUGUAGUCCCUGUCUCUUAUAA
rnacentral:rRNA from 1 species